rnacentral:rRNA from 1 species
UACGUAGGGGGCAAGCGUUGUCCGGAUUUAUUGGGCGUAAAGAGCGUGUAGGCGGUUCGGUAGGUCCGUUGUGAAAACUCGAGCUCAACCUCGAGACGCCGAUGGAAACCCCCGAACUAGAGUCCGGAAGAGGAGAAUGGAAUUCCUGGUGUAGCGGUGAAAUGCGCAGAUAUCAGGAAGAACACCCGUGGCUAAGGCGGUUCUCUGGGCCUGUACUGACGCUGAGGAGCGAAAGCGUGGGGAGCGAACAGGA